rnacentral:rRNA from 1 species
ACGAUAUAGUGGCAGACGGGUGAGUAACGCGUGGGAACGUACCUUUCACUACGGAAUAGCUCCGAGAAAUUGGUGGUAAUACCGUAUACGCCCUCAGGGGGAAAGAUUUAUCGGUGAAAGAUCGGCCCGCGUUGGAUUAGCUAGUUGGUGAGGUAAUGGCUCACAAAGGCGACGAUCCAUAGCUGGUCUGAGAGGAUGAUCAGCCACACUGGGACUGAGACACGGCCCAGACUCCUACGGGAGGCAGCAGUGGGGAAUCUUGCACAAUGGGCGAAAGCCUGAUGCAGCCAUGCCGCGUGAAUGAUGAAGGCCUUAGGGUUGUAAAAUUCUUUCGUCAGGGAUGAUAAUGACCGUACCUGAAGAAGAAGCCCCGGCUAACUUCGUGCCAGCAGCCGCGGUAAUACGAAGGGGGCUAGCGUUGUUCGGAAUUACUGGGCGUAAAGCGCACGUAGGCGGAUUUUUAAGUCAGGUGUGAAAUCCCGGGGCUCAACCUCGGAACUGCAUUUGAAACUGGAAGUCUUGAGACCAGGAGAGGUUAGCGGAAUACCGAGUGUAGAGGUGAAAUUCGUAGAUAUUCGGUGGAACACCAGUGGCGAAGGCGGCUAACUGGACUGGUACUAACGCUGAGGUGCGAAAGUGUGGGGAGCAAACAGGAUUAGAUACCCUGGUAGUCCACACCGUAAACGAUGAGAGCUAGUUGUUGGCAGGCAUGCCUGUCGGUGACGCAGCUAACGCAUUAAGCUCUCCGCCUGGGGGAGUACGGCCGCAAGGUUAAAACUCAAGAAAUUGACGGGGGCCCGCACAGCGGUGGAG